rnacentral:rRNA from 1 species
CGAGCACGCGCGUGUGGCAUAUCAAUAAGCGGAGGAAAAGAAACUAACAAGGAUUCCCUUAGUAACGGCGAGUGAAGCGGGAAGAGCUCAAAUUUGAAAUCUUCAAGGUUCUACCUUGACGAAUUGUAGUUUAAAGAAGUGUUUUCUGUUGGUGUUUUGGUAAAAGUUCUUUGGAAUAGGACAUCAUAGAGGGUGAGAAUCCCGUAUUUGACCAUUACUUCCAGCGUUGUGAUACACUUUCAAAGAGUCGGAUUGUUUGGGAAUGCAGUCCAAAAUGGGUGGUAAAUUUCAUCUAAAGCUAAAUAUUGGCGAGAGACCGUUAGCGAACAAGUACCGUGAGGGAAAGAUGAAAAGAACUUUGAAAAGAGAGUUAAACAGUACGUGAAAUUGUCAAAAGGGAAGCGUUUGACACCAGUGUUGUUUUUCCGAAAAUCAAUUACGAAUGUUUUAUUUUUGAGAAGUUAUGACUUCAUCGGCUUGCUUCUCUCUUUAUGAAACUUUCUUAAUGCACUUUUCAGUUAACAAGUCAACAUCAAUUUCUUCUGUUGUAAAAGGGUAUGAGGAAGGUGGCUUACUUUUCGGCGUAAAGUGUUUAUAGCCUUUGACUCCUACAAUCGGAGAGAUUGAGGAUCUGCAGCGUAGACUCCUUCUGGGGUUAGAUACACUUGUGCUAAGCUAUAGCCUUGUAUAGACAACUUGUUGACUAUGCUCAGUCAUGUAGCUUACUCGCUUGUGCUAUUUUACCUACGCUUAGGAUGUUGAGUAGCGACAUACGCA